GCCGCUUUAGCUCAGUCGGUAGAGCACUUCACUCGUAAUGAAGAUGUCAACGGUUCGAUUCCGUUAAGCGGCUCCA
rnacentral:tRNA from 1 species